AGCUUUGCGCAGUGGCAGUAUCGUAGCCAAUGAGGUUUAUCUGAGGCGCGAUUAUUGCUAAUUGAAAAAAUAUACCUUAAGGUACCUGUACUACUUAUGGUAUGUAAUAUAAUAUAUAUAUAGAAAGAUAUAUAUG